CUGAGCCAGGAUUAAACUCUAGGAGAAGAGUUGGCAAAUCCGCUCUUUAAUCUGAAGACGUGAUGUGGACUGAAAAUAAGUAGGGAAGCACGUGAGCUGACUGUCAAGAAAAGCCGCUAUUGUUUGCAGGAUACCCGUACCGUAAACCGACACAGGUGGAUGAGGAGAGAAUCCUAAGGCCGACGGGAGAAGCAUUGUUAAGGAACUCGGCAAAAUGACUCCGUGACUUCGGGAGAAGGAGUGCCAGUAAGAUGGCCGCAGAGAAUUGGCCCAAGCAACUGUUUAGCAAAAACACAGGUCUAUGCAAAACCGAAAGGUGAGGUAUAUGGGCUGACGCCUGCCCGGUGCUGGAAGGUUAAGGGGAGAGGUUAGCGCAAGCGAAGCUUUGAACUUAAGCCCCAGUAAACGGCGGCCGUAACUAUAACGGUCCUAAGGUAGCGAAAUUCCUUGUCGGGUAAGUUCCGACCCGCACGAAAGGCGUAAUGAUUUGGGCACUGUCUCAACAAUGCACCCGGUGAAAUUGAAAUACCAGUGAAGAUGCUGGUUACCUGCGCCAGGACGGAAAGACCCCAUGGAGCUUUACUCCAGCUUGAUACUGGGAUUCGGUAUUGCAUGUACAGGAUAGGUGGGAGGCUAGGAAAUGGUAACGCCAGUUGCCAUGGAGCCAAUGUUGGGAUACCACCCUUGCAGUACUGGGUUCCUAACCAGCAGCCGUGAUCCGGCUGGGGGACAAUGUCAGGUGGGGAGUUUGACUGGGGCGGUCGCCUCCGAAAGGGUAUCGGAGGCGCUCAAAGGUUCCCUCAGAAUGGUUGGAAACCAUUCGAAGAGUGCAAAGGCAGAAGGGAGCUUGACUGCGACACCGACGGGUGGAGCAGGUACGAAAGUAGGACUUAGUGAUCCGGUGGUAUAAAGUGGGAUUGCCAUCGCUCAACGGAUAAAAGCUACCCUGGGAUAACAGGCUUAUCACUCCCAAGAGUUCACAUCGACGGAGUGGUUUGGCACCUCGAUGUCGGCUCAUCGCAUCCUGGGGCUGAAGUAGGUCCCAAGGGUUGGGCUGUUCGCCCAUUAAGGCGGUACGCGAGCUGGGUUCAGAACGUCGUGAGACAGUUCGGUCCCUAUCCGGCGUGGGCGUAAGAUAUUUGAGAGGAGCUGUCCUUAGUACGAGAGGACCGGGAUGGACUGGCCGCUGGUGUAUCUGUUGUCUUACCAAAGGCAUAGCAGAGUAGCCAAGCCGGGAAGGGAUAAACGCUGAAGGCAUCUAAGCGUGAAGCCCCCCUCAAGAUGAGAUAUCUCAUAACGUCAAGUUAGUAAGACCUCUUGAAGACGACGAGGUAGAUAGGGCAGAGGUGGAAGUGUGGUAACACAUGGAGCUGACUGUUACUAAUAGGUCGAGGGCAUAACC
rnacentral:rRNA from 1 species